rfam:Homo sapiens chromosome 16, GRCh38 reference primary assembly.
UACUUGGUUGAUCCUACCAGUACCAUAUGCUUGUCUCAAAGAUUAUGCCAUACAUGUCUAAGUAGGCAGGGCCGGUACAGUGAAACUGCGAAUGGCUCAUUAAAUCAGUUAUGGUUCUUUUGGUCGCUCGCUCCUCUCCUACUUGGAAAACUGUGGUAAUUCUAGAGCUAAUGCAUGCCGAAGGGUGCUGACCCCCUUCGCGGGGAAGAUGCCUGCAUUUAUCAGAUCAAAACCAACCCGGUCAGCCCCUCUCCGGCCCCUGCCUAGGGGUCGAGUGCCACCGGCUUUGGUGACUCUAGAUAGCCUCGGGCCAAUCGCAUGCCCCCCUGUGGCAGCAACGACCCAUUCGAACGUCUGCCCUAUCAACUUUCGAUGGUAGUCGCUGUGCCUACCAAGGUGACCACGGGUGAAGGAGAAUCAGGGUUCGAUUCUGGAGAGGGAGCCUGAGAAAUGGCUACCACAUUCAAGGAAGGCAGCAGGCAUGCAAAUUACCCACUCCUGACUCGAGGAGGUAGUGAUGAAACAUAACAAUACAGGACUCUUUCGAGGUCCUGUAAUUGGAAUGAGUCCACUUUAAAUCCUUUAACGAAGAUCCAUUGGAGGGCAAGUUUAGUGCCAGCAGCCGCGGUAAUUCCAGCUCCAAUAGCGUAUAUUAAAGUUGCUGCAGUUAAAAAGCUCCUAGUUGGAUCUUGGGAGCGGGCGGGCAGUCCGCCAUGAGGCGAGCCACUGCCCGUCCCCGCCCCUUGCCUCUUGGCGCCCCCUCGAUGCUCUUAGCUGAGUGUUCCGCGGCCCAAAGCGUUUACUUUGAAAAAAUUAGAGUGUUCAAAGCAGGUCCAAGCCGCCUGGAUACCGCAGCUAGGAAUAAUGGAAUAGGACCGCGGUUCUAUUUUGUUGGUUUAUGGAACUGAGGCCAUGAUUAAGAGGGACAGCUGGGGGCAUUUGUAUUGCACCGCUAGAGGUGAAAUUCUUGGACCGGCGCAGUUUGGACCAGAGUGAAAGCAUUUGCCAAGAAUGUUUUCAUUAAUCAAGAAUGAAAGUCGGAGGUUCGAAGACGAUCAGAUACCGUGGUAGUUCUGACCAUAAACGAUGCCGACUGGCAACGUGGCGGUGUUAUUCCCAUGACCCGCUGGGCAGCUUCCAAGAAACCAAAGUCUUUGGGUUUUUAGGUUCCGGGGGGAGUACGGUUGCAAAGCUGAAACUUAAAGGAAUUGGUGGAAGGGCACCACCAGGAGUGGAGCCUGCGGCUUAAUUUGACUCAACAUGGGAAAAAUCCCCCGGGCCGGACAGGGACAGGAUUGACAGAUUGAUAGCUGUUUCUCUGUUCCAUGGGUGGUGGUGCAUGGCCUUAGUUGGUGGAGUGAUUUGUCUGGUUAAUUCCAAUAACCAACGAGACUCUGGCAUGCUAACUAGUUACGUGACCCCCGAGCGGUCGGCGUCCCCCAACUUCUUAGAGGGACAAGUGGCCUUCAGCCACCCGAAAUUGAGCAAUAACAGAUCUGUGAUGCCCUUAGAUGUCCGGGACUGCACGCGCGCUACACUGACUGGCUCAGCGUGUGCCUACCCUACGUGGCAGAGGCGGGUAACCUGUUGAACCUCAUUCGUGAUGGGGAUGGGGGAUUGCAAUUAUUCCCCAUGAAGGAGGAAUUUCCAGUAAGUGCGGGUCAUAAGCUUGCCUGAAGUCCCUGCCCUAUGUACACACUGCCCGCCUCUACUACUGAUAGGAUGGUUUAGUGAGGCCCUCUGAUCAGCCCCGCCGGGUCAGCCCACUGCCCUGGUGGAACGCUGAGAAGACAGUCGAACUUGACUAUCUAGAGGAAGUAAAAUUCGUAACAGUUUCGGUAGGUGAACCUGUGGAGGGAUCAUUA